UACGGAGGGUGCAAGCGUUAUCCGGAUUCACUGGGUUUAAAGGGUGCGUAGGCGGGCCGGUAAGUCCGUGGUGAAAUCUCUGAGCUUAACUCAGAAACUGCCAUGGAUACUAUUUGUCUUGAAUGUUGUGGAGGUAAGCGGAAUAUGUCAUGUAGCGGUGAAAUGCUUAGAUAUGACAUAGAACACCAAUUGCGAAGGCAGCUUACUACACAAAUAUUGACGCUGAGGCACGAAAGCGUGGGGAUCAAACAGG
rnacentral:rRNA from 1 species